rnacentral:rRNA from 1 species
GCCUAAUACAUGUGCGAACGAUGAUAGGAGCUUGCUUCUGUGAUUAGUGGCGAACGGGUGAGUAACACGUGAGUAACCUGCCCCUGACUCUGGGAUAAGCGUUGGAAACGACGUCUAAUACUGGAUAUGACUACCGGUCGCAUGGCCUGGUGGUGGAAAGAUUUUUUGGUUGGGGAUGGACUCGCGGCCUAUCAGCUUGUUGGUGAGGUAAUGGCUCACCAAGGCGACGACGGGUAGCCGGCCUGAGAGGGUGACCGGCCACACUGGGACUGAGACACGGCCCAGACUCCUACGGGAGGCAGCAGUGGGGAAUAUUGCACAAUGGGCGAAAGCCUGAUGCAGCAACGCCGCGUGAGGGAUGACGGCCUUCGGGUUGUAAACCUCUUUUAGUAGGGAAGAAGCGAAAGUGACGGUACCUGCAGAAAAAGCACCGGCUAACUACGUGCCAGCAGCCGCGGUAAUACGUAGGGUGCAAGCGUUGUCCGGAAUUAUUGGGCGUAAAGAGCUCGUAGGCGGUUUGUCGCGUCUGCUGUGAAAUCCCGAGGCUCAACCUCGGGCUUGCAGUGGGUACGGGCAGACUAGAGUGCG